rnacentral:rRNA from 1 species
UACGUAGGGUGCAAGCGUUGUCCGGAAUUAGUUGGGCGUAAAGAGCUCGUAGGCGGUUUGUCGCGUCUGCUGUGAAAACCCGGAGGCUCAACCUCCAGCCUGCAGUGGGUACGGGCAGACUAGAGUGCGGUAGGGGAGAUUGGAAUUCCUGGUGUAGCGGUGGAAUGCGCAGAUAUCAGGAGGAACACCGAUGGCGAAGGCAGAUCUCUGGCCGUAACUGACGCUGAGGAGCGAAAGCAUGGGGAGCGAACAGG